rnacentral:rRNA from 1 species
UACGUAGGGUGCGAGCGUUGUCCGGAAUUAUUGGGCGUAAAGGGCUCGUAGGCGGUUUGUUGCGUCGGCUGUGAAAUCCCGAGGCUCAACCUCGGGUCUGCAGUCGAUACGAGCAAACUAGAGUGUUGCAGGGGAGACUGGAAUUCCUGGUGUAGCGGUGAAAUGCGCAGAUAUCAGGAGGAAUACCGGUGGCGAAGGCGGCAUCCUGGACCGAGAUUGACGCUGAACGGCGAAAGCUAGGGGAGCAAAUGGG